rnacentral:rRNA from 1 species
AUUGAACGCUGGCGGCAGGCCUAACACAUGCAAGUCGAGCGAGCGGCGGACGGGUGAGUAAUGUAUGGGGACUGCCCGAUAGAGGGGGAUAACUACUGGAAACGGUAGCUAAUACCGCAUACUAUCGGAUAACCCAUAUGGGAUUAGCUAGUAGGUGAGGUAAUGGCUCACCUAGGCGACGAGCCCUAGCUGGUCUGAGAGGAUGAUCAGCCACACUGGAACGGAGACAGGGCCGAGACUCCUACGGAGGCAGCAGUGGGGAAUAUGGCACAAUGGGCGAAGGCUUGAGGCAGCCAUGCCGCGUGUGUGAAGAAGGCCUUCGGGUUGUAAAGUACUUUCAGCGGGGAGGCGUUACCCGCAGAAGAAGCACCGGCUAACUCCGUGCCAGCCGCCGCGGUAAUUC